rnacentral:rRNA from 1 species
UACGUAGGGUGCGAGCGUUUGUCCGGAAUUAUUGGGCGUAAAGAGCUCGUAGGCGGUUUGUCGCGUCUGCUGUGAAAUCCCGAGGCUCAACCUCGGGCCUGCAGUGGGUACGGGCAGACUAGAGUGCGGUAGGGGAGAUUGGAAUUCCUGGUGUAGCGGUGGAAUGCGCAGAUAUCAGGAGGAACACCGAUGGCGAAGGCAGAUCUCUGGGCCGUAACUGACGCUGAGGAGCGAAAGCGUGGGGAGCGAACAGG